AGCAAAACAGAUUUGUCGUCAGUGCACAGCACCAACUAUUGUGCGGACUAUGAUUGCCAGCUGUGGGCAAGGUUUUGAAGCUGGUCAGCGCCGUAUGGAAGUGGUUAAGACCACCUACUUAUAUUAUGCAUGCCAUUACAUGGGAUUGUGGGCUGAGACCCCUGUCACCAAAUGUAGGAAGAAAUCAAAUACAGUUUUGGAAAUGCAAACACAUUUCUAUUUGCUGAUGGACAUGUAUUGUUUAUGAAGUUUUUAGUUGUAAGUAACAGAAGAUCCAAUUUAAACCUUUUUAGCUUAUAUGUCAGAAACAUAUGGGUUUCUCAGAGGUAUGUGGGUUUCAGGAUUAUCUGAUCCAGAAGUUCUAUGAUGCAGUUUCUCUCUCCCACUGGACUCUAAUAUAUAUGAUGAGGGCCCUAUCUCAGGCUGCUUCCCCUUAUUUGUGUCCAAGGGAGAGUCCUUAGCUUUGCACUGAUUGGGCCAGGCCUGAACCAAUCCCUGUGGUCAUAAGAAGGCUAUGAGCUGAUGGACUUGGGCCUGGGCAACCUAAGGCAGUCACUGUGCCAAGAGGAAUAGGAUGAAGUGGGGGUGUCGAUUCAGUUCAAAUUUCAUGGCUGCUAUUCAAUGAGGAGGGAAGAGAACCACAAUGUCCAAAUCAGUAAUAAUGGUGCCCUGGGAAGCAGAACACUGUCUCAAAAACUAAGUGCAUGAUUAUUUUGUCAAUUAAAGUAAAAGAGGCACAAAAUGAAACUUGUAUUGUUGUGCUUGAUUUCCAACAAUUCCCUGGAAUUAAAGGAUUUAUGUGAAGCCGUUCGUCCUCCUUGGCAGCCUCCUCACUUCUACCCCAUAUUUAAUGAAACUGAAGUCAAAUGGAUUGUGCAGCUUAGAUGCCAUGGUAACUAUAUAGACAACAUAGUCAAUCUUGUGUCCAGAGCUGGUGGUGUUUAGAAUGUUUGGGCAGAGAUAAAAGGGUCAAAUGGCUUGUCCUCUGUCUGGCAUAACCGCUCUGCUCUGAGUCAAAGCUGAAUAGUCAAGCCUCAAAAGCAGUAUCUCAAAUGGCCAAUUUAAACAAAAAGUCCACUUACAAAUUAGGUGGCUCUCCAAAGGGUGUUCUGAAACAUUUAUUUGCUUAAGUGACCAUAAAAUUAGUAAUAUGGUUAGGACUCAAAUUAAUUGGCUAGCACAGCCUUGCAAAUUUAUUUCAUAGGCUCCACUUGGCCAGAACAUGGUUUUUGCAUUGAUUUGUGUCACCUUUAAAGCCAAUAUGUUAUCAGGCCUUUUACAACUGACAAACCAGCCUUUUAUACCAUAAUUCUUCCUCCUGGGGAUCUGAAAGCAUGUUAUAAACACUGUCCCCCUAGAAUCCCAUGAGAUUUUGUGUGUGUUGACACAUGUAUAUGUAAGUACCAUAUAUGCCCACCUAUAAACAGGGAAUUGAGUCUACUAUGUACAAGAUAUUUUACCUAAAUCAUUUUAUUUAGUUGCAGUCACUGUAUUUGAGUCUCAUUGUAUAGAUGAUAAAACUGAGGCUUGGAGAGGUGAAAUGAUUUUCCAGCAGUCAAAGAACUGGUAAGUAGCAAAGCCUGAGUUGAGCUCAAGUGUCACUGUCUCACUGCCUCUCUAGGACUUGAGUUGUUAUAUUUUAAUUUGCUCUUAGCUUUGUCUCCUUCCCUAUCCACCUCUCCUCUGUUGACCUCCAUAUUCAUUGACUCAGUAAAUAUCUAUCAAAUACUUUUAUAUGUCACACGCUAUUUUAGGUGCUAGAGGUGCAGCAGCGAACAAAAUAGAUGAAAAUUCUUGCCCUCAUGGAGUGUUUAGUUGGAUGGUUCCAUCGUCCAAAUCUUGAUCUUCCAGAUUUACCCCUAGAUAUUGUUUUUCUUUUAACCAUUCAGUGAACUCAAGGCUUCCCCCCAAAAUGUUACUUGUCCUGAAAUACAACUCUGUAUGUCAAAUUCUUGAGGAUGAUGGCAAUAUUCCUUUAUACUUCAUAUCCAAAACACUCUGCUGCCCUAUUGUUUUGGUUUCAGAGAACGUAGCCAAUCCCUGCAUUGACUCCUUGCCGAGUGGCACAUGGAUACAUGGGUAUCGAGGGGCCCAGUGGAUCAAGAGAUGGGUGUCAUCAGUCCACUUUGCAGGGGAGCAGGUUCUUUCUGAGCCUGAGAUUUGAAGGCAAAGUUUGUUGAGAAGUGCCCUCAGGCACAUAUUAGGCAGGGAGAAAUGUUGAAGUACUAUGCAAUUGCAACAAAGGUCAACCCUACAGGGAGUUCUGGAGCUGGAAUGGCCUCAGAGUCAUCGUCUGUUGGCCUGAGAGGGCCAGGCCUUUGAACUCCUACAUCAACAGUUGUUAUUAGUAGAUGCAGGCUGCCCCUGGGAAGAGAGUGACUCUGGGUGAGGUGGCUCUCUCUAGCCAUGGCAAUUCCCAGAUAGGGUCUCAGCUGAAUGCCGGCCAUCAACACACCUGGAAACUGGGGGAAUGAUCGCUCCGGUCUGGAGCGGUGGGUCUGGGCAGCACAGCACAGUCUCCACAACAAGGGGCUUCUCACCUGGAAGCUGAGAGUGAUGUCUCUCUCCUUCCUGCCUUCCCCAGCUGGAACAUUCUUACAGGCUCCUCACCUCUAGGUAUUACUUCAGCAGGGUUUUGAAGAAACUCAAAAGGCCCUAAAACAUGAAACUCAAACCUCAACACUCUUAGACUCAUCAAAGACACACUGCAGGAAACCUGGGCAGAACACCUCCCAGGCAAAGCUGUUAGUUUGAGCUACCACUGAGCAAGCCAGCUACUUGACCCUAACCUGGACUUCCUGUUUUGGCAAUACCAGAAACAUUUAUUUAAUUGGCUUCUAUUAUUAUUUAGUUCUUUUUGCUCCUCAGGACUAUCAUAUUGUUUUGUUUGGUUAAAGUUAAUGUUUAUUCGGCCAAACUAGGCAUUGGACCUAAAGCUACACAGAUUAUUUCAUUUAAUCCUCAAAACAGCCAAAUGAAGUAGGUAUCGUUAUUAUCUCCAUUUAAUGGAUACGGCCAUUGUGGGGCACAAUGAAGCUGGGGAACUUCCACAUGGUCAUGCUACUGACCAAGCCGAUACAAGAACCCAACUCUGCCUGCCAUGCUUGGGCUCCGACCACUGUACCACCUUGCCCCUCCCCCUUUUACAUAGUUGUCCUGGGUCUCCUUUAAGUUUAUAUGUUAAGAUAUACUCUGGAAUCCUCUAUGUCCCACUGAUUUCUUGAUUGAAUCACCAAAUAAACAUACUGUAUUCUAGACAGUGUCCAAGGCACUGGGGCCAUCGUACAUGAGACAGACACAUUCGUUCCUCUCAAAAAUUCUCACAGGAUAGUGAAGGGCUUCAGAGACGUAAACGCACUCACAAGAUAGAGUGAUACAUUAUAAGGUACGAGAAGCCGAGAGUGCUACAGGUGCACAUAGGAGGGCUCCUGACCCAGCCAUAGGGGGAGGGGAGGUGGUCAGUGAAAGCUGGGUGGAAGGGACAGCUAAGCAGAAGCCUAAAGCAACUUUGCAGGUAAAUGUGUAUGUGUGUGUGUGUAGAGGGGGAGCACGGAGAUGCAAAUGCUUGGCAGUGAACUCAAGAAUUGAGAAGAAAUUCAGGCUCUCUGGGGCCCCUAUUUGAGAGUUCGGGCACAGGAAGGGUGAAGUGAGACUGAGCAUGUCAUGCACACUUCCCAAGCCACGUUGCAGAGACUGGACUUUACCCCCAAGUAAAUUGGGAAACCACUGAAGGGUGUUGAAUAGGGUGAUAUUGUCAGAUUUGCUUUAUAUUUUGUUGGUAAGUUUUUAGUUUUCUUUUUAACAGCUUCAUUGAGGUAUAAUUUACGUAAACUAAACUGCACAUAUUUAAAGUAUUCAAUGUGAUAAAUUUUCACAGGUGUAUAUAUAAAUCUGAAACUUCCUUCUCCUGCUUCGUAUUGUUAAUACACUUUAUCUCUUUAAGUUACAUUUAUUGUAUUUAUUUUAAGCUCUUGUUCCAUAAGUUUUAAUCAUUUAUUGAAUUUGUUGGUCCAUUUGUUGUCUUUAGGUGGAGAGUUAUUUUGCCCUGGGAAAUCAUGUUCCUGUUUUAAUCUAUCCUGUCUGGUAAUGUGUUUUAAGGAAAAGCUCAAUCCCUCCAGAUAAAGCUUAUCUACUGUGAAUGCACUAAUCUUAAGUGCCAAAUGCCUUCAUUGUGUAACCCAAACCCUUAUCAAAAUGCAGAGCACUGCCAUCACCCCAGAAGAUUCCUUCACACACCUUCCCAGUCAAUCCCCACUCCCACCACCCCACCCACCCCCACAGAUUAGUUUUGGAUGUUCUACAACUUCAAUAAAUGGAGUAAUACAGUA